rnacentral:rRNA from 1 species
GGGUGAAUNUNCCUGCAAUGGGCGAAANCCUGACGGAGCAAGUNCCGCGUGGGGGAUGAAGGUUUGUGGAUUGUAAACCCCUUUNGAUUGGGAANAAUACUGACGGUACCANUCGAAUAAGCCUCGGCCUAACUCCGCUGCCAGCAGCCGCGGUUAAUACGGAGGAGGCAAGCGUUAUCCGGAAUUAUNGGGCGUAAAGCGUCCGUACGUGGUUUAGUAAGUCUGCUGUUAAANCGCGGGGCUUANCUCCGUAUCGGCAGUGGAAACUANUAUACUAAAGUGUGGUANGGGUAGAGGGAAUUCCCACUGUACCGGUGAAAUGCNUACAUAUUGGGAANAACACCGGUGGCGAAAGCGCUCUANUGGGCCAUAACUGACACUGAUGGACGAAAGCUACGGGAGCGAAAGGGAUUANAUACCCCUGNUANUCA